rnacentral:rRNA from 1 species
CACGUAGGCGGCUCGUUAAGUCAGAGGUGAAAGCCUGGAGCUCAACUCCAGAACUGCCUUUGAUACUGGCGGGCUCGAGUAUGGCAGAGGUUGGUGGAACUCCGAGUGUAGAGGUGAAAUUCGUAGAUAUUCGGAAGAACACCAGUGGCGAAGGCGGCCAACUGGGCCAUUACUGACGCUGAGGUGCGAAAGCGUGGGGAGCAAACA